rnacentral:lncRNA from 1 species
AGCCAAUCAUAGUGCGACACGUGUCAACAUCAAAAGCCAAUCACAACACAACACGUGUCAAUGUCAUAAUGAAACUAGAAACUCUCUUAUAUAAAUAGAGAUCAUUCUCUCACAAUAUUUCCUAAUGUCAUUUGUACUAAAUCAUUCACUAGUACUCACAAAAUAAGAGUUUGAACCUAUGUACUUGUGUAAACCCUUCACAAUUAAUGAUAACUCCUAUACUCCGUGGACGUAGCCAAUCUGGGUGAACCACGUACAUCUUGUGUUUGCUUCCAUAUCUCUAUCCAUUUACAUACUUAUCCACACUAGUGACUGAAGCAAUCUAGCGAAGGUCACAAACUUAACACUUUCUGUUGUACCAAAGUCCUCACUGAUUUUGUGCAUCAACAAAAACGUUUCACAAUUGGAGGAUCAACACUGAGAAACCCUCAGACUCGUGGGUGGUUUUCCACGCACAAUCAAAGCAAAUCUCGUCGGGUUUUGGUUAGAAUUAGGUGUUGGGAUGUGGUGAUGAGUUUUGGUGAGAAGGCCGGAAAAAUCGACGAAAAAUCAUCGGAUUUCAUAAAUCUAGACGAGUCAGGUCGAAGAAGGAAACGGGUCGAAGGCUUGGGGUCUGGUUCUCUCCUUUCUCUCUCCCUUCUUUCCCCUCAUUUCCUUUCUUCCUUAUUGGUCACUUCCUUUUUCUCUUCUUUCUGAUUGGCUUCAACUCUUCCUCUUUUCUCUCCUUUAUCUUCUAUCUCCACCGCCCAUCAUCACCUUUCUUUAAAUCAAGGCCACACACAUGGCAUUCCAAAUUUUUCUCCAAAAAGUCUGGUGUUUUCCUGAAACUAAUUAAUUUACUAAAAUGCCCUCGACUUUAAAUGUUAAUAUUUCCUUCGUUAUAACUUCAAAUUGCGUUCCGCUUGCACCCAUGAGUUCGUAGCAAUGAGUACUAUGAGGAUAUGCCAAUAAAACGAGUCUAACGUGAAAUGAAAAGGCCUCGUGCUAAGAAGAGAUGAAAAUAUACACAUAAGGCUUACAUGAUUCACUCCCCCGAACGAUGUGGGAUGUUACAUAUCAGGCCACCAACUAGUUAUUAGUUUAAUGAGACUUUGCUUAUUGUCAAAAGACGUCUCUAGUUGAAUUCUAGAAAGAAAAAAACCCCAAAAAGAUGAUGUUAAUGGAACUAAGCUCUUGAGGAUUUGGGGCAACUAUCUCUGUAUUUCAUGAGAAAUUAUUAGGCGAUAUGGUAUCACCACGUCACUCGUGCUGCUGCCAUCUGUUCUUUAUUUUCACAACUGGAUUUAGAACCUAGUUUAAUCAUUCUUUAAAUAUAAAACUAAAUAUGUCAUUCAAUACUA